GGGAGACAGUCAGGUCUCGGACCAGUCCCUCUCAGAAAGUAUAUAACUCAGGCCUGAGUCAGGUCUCGGACCAGUCCCUCUCAGAAAGUAUAUAACUCAGGCCAGACAGUCAGGUCUCGGACCAGUCCCCCUCAGAAAGUAUAUAACUCAGGCCUGACAGUCAGGUCUCGGACCAGUCCCUCUCAGAAAGUAUAUAACUCAGGCCAGACAGUCAGGUCUCUGACCAGUCCCCCUCAGAAAGUAUAUAACUCAGGCCUGACAGUCAGGUCUCGGACCAGUCCCUCUCAGAAAGUAUAUAACUCAGGCCUGACAGUCAGGUCUCUGACCAGUCCCCCUCAGAAAGUAUAUAACUCAGGCCAGACAGUCAGGUCUCGGACCAGUCCCUCUCUGUUCUUCCUCUACCGGAUCAUCGUCAUCACGUCGCCAACA